ACAGCCUUGCUGGUUGUGCUGGUUGUUUUAUAAAUUAACAUUUAAAGGUGGAUAUUUCGUUACCAAGGUAUGAGAAUGAAUUUUUUAAAGUUGUAUAUUUCCUGUUCUUAUUUCUAAGUAGCAGACAAGUGUAAAAUGUAUAUUUUUCUCUAAAAAACAAAACAAAACAAAACAAAAAAACCUGAAGCAGGCUGGGCGUGGUGGCUCACCCCUGUAAUCCAGCAUUUUGGGAGGCCAAGAUAGGUGGAUCGCUUGAGCCCAGGAGUUUGAGACCAGCCUGGGCAACAUAGCAAAACCCCAUCUCUACAAAAAGUUUUUUAAAAAUUAGCUGGGUGUGGUGGCAUAUGCCUGUAGUCGGGGAGGCUGAGGCGGGAUGAUUGCUUGAGCCUAGGAAAUCGAGGCUGCAGUGAGCUGUGAUUGCCUCAGUGCACUCUAGCCUGGGCAACAGAACAAGACGUCGGCUCUUGAAAAAAAAAAAAGAAAGAAAAACUUAAAGCACAUUUUUGUUAUUUUAGUCCCUAAUAGAAUGAGUUUUCCCAUUAUAGACUAUAGUGAUUUACUAAUCAUUUUAGUAUCACUUUUCAUAUUCAUAUUUUUUGAUUACUCCAUUGACUGGCAUCAAUAAUUUGGAGCUGGUUUAUUACGUUUAUAUGUAUCCACAAACUCUUUUUAAAAAAAAUUUAAAUUUUUUUCACUCCGUUCUUCUAGUCUGAUGUUCUCAUCAACUCUUGCUGUUCUGCACUGGAUGCCAGUACUUGGUGAGGUGAUGACCUCAAAGAUAAUUUGCUCUCCUGGGCCUUCAAAUAGACUCAAAAACAAAAACAGGAACUUUAAUCCAGCUUUUCUGGUUGCUCUCAGCAGGAGAGUUGGUCUAAUGCAAGCCAGUUCACACAGCAGAAGUGUUAAUUUACUUCACAGUAAUACAGCAAACACCAGGAACCCCCAAGAACCAGGAUGGACCCCAUCACCUUCCCCUCCAACCCCUAGGGGCACCAGAUGAAUCACCUCCUGUUUAUAUCUUGUUCUUAUUUUGCUUCUUGUUGGGAAGAUAUUGACUACAAGGUCCUGAUCACCACACCCCAAGCCCAGAGUAGGUAAUAAGACAUGGGGGGUGUCUUCCACACCUGGGCCACCACUGACUGAAUCCAUGCAGGAGACCUAGGCAUGGGGAGGGUCCAACUGCUGUCCUUUAAAACCAAACUGAGGCCAAGAUGGCAAAAUUUACGUUGCUGUAUCUUCCUCCUCCCCUCACCGUACUAUCUUCAUGGUCCUCCGUAUCCCUGACUGAGGGUUGCUUCCUGGGACAGGCCUGACCUAAGGAAAUAUCAUUUCCCAACCCUCAGACCCAAUGCUCCCUUUUAAUAAGAAACAUUUUUGGAGGCCUCCUUUUACUAUCCUGAAAUGACAUUCACAUUCAUGUACAUUACAAGUCUUGCUGGUGUGGGACAGCCCCCCAGCACCAGACCUCUGCCCAUUCAAUGCCAAAGCACCCUCAAGGAGGAAUUCCCAAAACACACCCCGAGGGCAGGCAGGAACAGGACCCUUGUCUGUCUGGUUCAGUGCGGUAUCCCCACCACCUAGCACAAGACCCUGAAUGCACUAAGUAAAUAAUUGCAGUCUGGAUAGCUAUGCUGUGAUUUACUGCCCUCUUCCAACAAGGCUUCCCUCUCCUCUGUUCACUGCCCCUGCGUGGGGAGCCAGGGAAGAAAAACGACUCAGGGUGCGCAGGGGCCAGCUCCCUUGCACAGAGAGUUCUACACAGUUCACUGACGCUGUGGGCAAAUGGAUGCUUCAGGGGCCCUCUGUCCUGCCGGGGGCGGAAUGAGGACAGGGUGAGCACAGAAAGCAGAGACAUCUGUAGAGUCAAUGACGCAGUGGUCAGAACACAGAGUCCAGAGUGCACAGCCUGACCCUUGCCCUGGCCCUGGCGCUUCUCAGCUGUGUGCCUUCUGGUAACCUCUACAGGGCCUCAGGUCUCUCAUCCAGAACGCGAAGAUGAUAAUAGUAGUUAAGGUUGUUGUGAAGAUGCAGUGAGAUGAUUUGUGUAAAGUGAUCAGGAGAGCUUGGCACGUGUUAUAAUUAUUCAUUACUGUUGCCGUUUCUAUGAAAUAGCUGAGUAACUUGGAUCAAUGAACUAUCAUCCCUGACGCCUAGAUUCCCCCCUCCCUCAAGCGCCUCCUCACCUUCCUCCCUCAGGCUUCCAGGUUCCACCACCAUUGGUGGAUGGUCAGGAAGCCAGUAUGCGCGACCUCCCUUUUCUUUCCCCUGCUGCAAAGCCCAUCUCAGAGUUCCCUUCUGUGGGGCUCAGCCAGACACCCCCAG
rnacentral:lncRNA from 1 species